GGAGCGGACGCGGGCAGGACAGCGGCGCCUCCUCUGUCCCCACGCACCCGCGGGGCCCCAGUGGGCCGGGAGCAGCCGGCGAAAGCCCCGGCUCGGGCAGCGGCCCCGAGGCCGGCGGGCCGGCCGCUAGGAAAGCAAAAAUUCUUCUAAGCAUGUAGAAAGUCUGCUUUUACUUAUCCUGACAUCAGUGAGGAGCGACACCAACAGACUUCAUCUGUGUGGAGUUAGGGGUGGAGAGCAGCCCUGGAUUUUCGCAUGUCGUGGGAAUGAGUUGGACUCUGUCUGGAUUCCAGCUCUGUUGCUGAGCCCAGUGAACACUGUAAUGUUGCUUGGCAGACUGAUGGCAAUCUCUUCCCAACUCUGCAUGGACACAAAAGUGAUAAAUGCUGGUGUAGUGAGGUCACCAGCUGCCUGUAUGGCAACAAGAAUUGGCAGAAAAGAACAUUGUUGUGAUGGGGAAAAGACAACAGAUUAAUCGUCAUGUCGUCAUUCAGGCUGGGAAGGUGACCUCAUGGUGUGCAAAGCAAGGGGCAGAGGUGGCAUUGUCUACCAGAGCAGGGAGCAGAGUUUCCAAAGAAAGCACAUCAUCCUUCCAGUGAGCAUUUCCAGUUCUUGGUGUCCUCAGCAGCCAGAUCUGCCUCUGAUGUGGCUCCUCUCAAACCCCGGUACUCACCUGCACAACCUGGUGGUGCAACUCCUUACAAGAUGCUGACUGAGCUGGUUUCUUUCCACAAUGCAAGGACUCAGACUUUGCACCCACAAGUUCCCAGGCCAAGAGACAUAAAAGCCCUGCAUAUGAUACACCUGGGUUUAGUUGACUGCACUGCUUUAGUCAGGUGCUAUGGGAGACUCUGGAAAGUUAGCAGACACUGACAAAGGAGACAGGUUAAGGAAGCCAAGUGUUAGCAACC